CCUACGGGAGGCAGCAGUGAGGAAUAUUGGUCAAUGGACGAGAGUCUGAACCAGCCAAGUAGCGUGAAGGAUGACUGCCCUAUGGGUUGUAAACUUCUUUUAUAUGGGAAUAAAACGUUCCACGUGUGGGAUUUUGUAUGUACCAUAUGAAUAAGGAUCGGCUAACUCCGUGCCAGCAGCCGCGGUAAUACGGAGGAUCCGAGCGUUAUCCGGAUUUAUUGGGUUUAAAGGGAGCGUAGGUGGAUUGUUAAGUCAGUUGUGAAAGUCUGCGGCUCAACCGUAAAAUUGCAGUUGAAACUGGCAGUCUUGAGUACAGUAGAGGUGGGCGGAAUUCGUGGUGUAGCGGUGAAAUGCUUAGAUAUCACGAAGAACUCUGAUUGCGAAGGCAGUUCACUGGACUGCAACUGACACUGAGGCUCGAAAGUGUGGGUAUCAAACAGGAUUAGAUACCCGAGUAGUC
rnacentral:rRNA from 1 species